rnacentral:rRNA from 1 species
CGAACGCUGGCGGCGUGCUUAACACAUGCAAGUCGAACGCGAAAGGGACUUCGGUCCUGAGUAAAGUGGCGCACGGGUGAGUAACGCGUAGAUAACCUGUCUUCAUGUCUGGAAUAAUACGCCGAAAGGGUACUAAUACCGGAUAUUCUUGCUUUUCAUAAGUUAUGCAAGCAAAGGUGGCCUCUGCAUAUGCUACUGCAUGAAGAGGGGUCUGCGUACCAUUAGCUAGUAGGUGGGGUAAUGGCCUACCUAGGCGACGAUGGUUAGCGGGUCUGAGAGGAUGAUCCGCCACACUGGCACUGGAACACGGGCCAGACUCCUACGGGAGGCAGCAGUGAGGAAUAUUGCGCAAUGGGGGAAACCCUGACGCAGCGACGCCGCGUGAGUGAGGAAGGCCUUCGGGUCGUAAAGCUCUGUCAAGAGGAAAGAAGUGUACAAUGGCUAAUACCUGUUGUAUUUGACGGUACCUCUAAAGGAAGCACCGGCUAACUCCGUGCCAGCCGCCGC